rnacentral:rRNA from 1 species
UACGUAGGGGGCAAGCGUUGUCCGGAUUUACUGGGCGUAAAGAGCGCGCAGGCGGUCGUUCGAGUCGCGUGUGAAAGCCCCCGGCUCAACUGGGGAGGGUCACGCGAUACUGAUCGACUCGAAGGCAGGAGAGGGUAGUGGAAUUCCCGGUGUAGUGGUGAAAUGCGUAGAUAUCGGGAGGAACACCAGUGGCGAAGGCGACUACCUGGCCUGUUUCUUGACGCUGAGGCGCGAAAGCUAGGGGAGCAAACGGG